rnacentral:rRNA from 1 species
GAUGAACGCUGGCGGCGUGCCUAACACAUGCAAGUCGAGCGAACGGACGAGAAGCUUGCUUCUCUGAUGUUAGCGGCGGACGGGUGAGUAACACGUGGAUAACCUACCUAUAAGACUGGGAUAACUUCGGGAAACCGGAGCUAAUACCGGAUAAUAUUUUGAACCGCAUGGUUCAAAAGUGAAAGACGGUCUUGCUGUCACUUAUAGAUGGAUCCGCGCUGCAUUAGCUAGUUGGUAAGGUAACGGCUUACCAAGGCAACGAUGCAUAGCCGACCUGAGAGGGUGAUCGGCCACACUGGAACUGAGACACGGUCCAGACUCCUACGGGAGGCAGCAGUAGGGAAUCUUCCGCAAUGGGCGAAAGCCUGACGGAGCAACGCCGCGUGAGUGAUGAAGGUCUUCGGAUCGUAAAACUCUGUUAUUAGGGAAGAACAUAUGUGUAAGUAACUGUGCACAUCUUGACGGUACCUAAUCAGAAAGCCACGGCUAACUACGUG